rnacentral:rRNA from 1 species
UUGGAGGGCAAGUCUGGUGCCAGCAGCCGCGGUAAUUCCAGCUCCAAUAGCGUAUAUUAAAGUUGCUGCAGUUAAAAAGCUCGUAGUUGAAUUUCGGGACCAUCAUGUCGGUCGUGCCUCGGUACGUACUGGUAUUGUUGGUUUCUCCCUUCUGACGAACCAUGAUGUCAUUUAUUUGGUGUUGUGGGGAAUCAGGACUGUUACUUUGAAAAAAUUAGAGUGUUUAAAGCAGGCUCACGCUUGAAUACAUUAGCAUGGAAUAAUGAAAUAGGACGUUUGAUUCUAUUUUGUUGGUUUCUAGGAUCGACGUAAUGAUUAAUAGGGAUAGUUGGGGGCAUUAGUAUUCAAUUGUCAGAGGUGAAAUUCUUGGAUUUAUUGAAGACUAACUACUGCGAAAGCAUUUGCCAAGGGUGUUUUCAUUAAUCAAGAACGAAAGUUAGGGGAUCGAAGACGAUCAGAUACCGUCGUAGUCUUAACCAUAAACUAUGCCGACUAGGGAUCGGAUGAUGUUAAUUUUUUAAUGACUCAUUCGGCGCCUUACGGGAAAC